rnacentral:rRNA from 1 species
AGUGAACGCUGGCGGUAGGCCUAACACAUGCAAGUCGAACGGCAGCACAGUAAGAGCUUGCUCUUACGGGUGGCGAGUGGCGGACGGGUGAGGAAUAUAUCGGAAUCUACUUUUUCGUGGGGGAUAACGUAGGGAAACUUACGCUAAUACAGCAUACGACCUACGGGGGAAAGCAGGGGAUCUUCGGACCUUGCGCGAUUGAAUGAGCCGAUGUCGGAUUAGCUAGUUGGCGGGGUAAAGGCCCACCAAGGCGACGAUCCGUAGCUGGUCUGAGAGGAUGAUCAGCCACACUGGAACUGAGACACGGUCCAGACUCCUACGGGAGGCAGCAGUGGGGAAUAUUGGACAAUGGGCGCAAGCCUGAUCCAGCCAUACCGCGUGGGUGAAGAAGGCCUUCGGGUUGUAAAGCCCUUUUGUUGGGAAAGAAAAGCAGCAGGUUAAUACCCCGCUGUUCUGACGGUACCCAAAGAAUAAGCACCGGCUAACUUCGUG